rnacentral:lncRNA from 1 species
UUUCUAAUUCAGGCUCAACACCUCUAUUUCUUCUUCUUCUUCUUCAUCGUUUUCCAGGUUCGUUUCUUCUUCUUCUUCGUUUAUCUGUUAAAAUGUGAAAUUAGGGUUUGAAUAGGUUAAAUUUGGGAUUUUUUAAUGAAUUGUUCUAUUCUUCUUCGUUUAUCUGUUAAAAUGUGAAAUUUGAGAUUUUUUAAUGAAUUUGGGCCUCUGCUGAAAAUGAUGAGGAGGCAGAGUUUAAUCGAUUCUAUGUUAGCUUAGCAGAAGCAAAUUUAAAUGGUGUUUCUAUUCUACUUGAUUUGAUAAUAAGUUUAUUGAGUGGAUGGUUCCAUGAACAUAAAUGACUAGACUAUAGAGUGCAUGAUUGGAAACCUGAAGAGAGUAGUUGGUUAUAUUGGCGAUGCAUAUAUACAUUACCCUCUAAAGUGUUGGUGUAUUGAGGAACUAUGUUUUAAUGAAUUUGGGCCGGUACUGAUGUGAUGGUAGUCUGUUCUAAAUGAAUUGUUCUAUUUUGUUUUGCGCACAUAGUCUGUUCUAUUCUCAAUGAAUUUCCCUAGCUAGAACUUCUAAAUGAAUUUACUAUUUAUGUAAUCUUUAAUGAUUGAUUUUCUGUUUUGGCAUAUAAUUAUGUAGGAAUUACAAUCUGUUUGUGCUUCAAAUAUGAGGGAUAGUGAUAUUGAUGGUAGUGGAAGUCAUCAAAAUAUGUGCGUUGAUGGGGAAAUUGAGAGCCAAGCUAGGGAAAUUCCACUGGUACCACCAAUUGAUCAAAAUACACAAGAAGUGUCUUCUGAUCCAAAGGAUAAGAAGCGUAAGGGCAAGGCUAAGGCUAAGGACAAGGCUACGGGCAAGGUCAAGAGCAAGGGUAAAGCCCUAACAUCUGACGUGUGGCUAUAUCUUGUGAAAGUUGGUAUUGUAGAUGGAGUAGAGAAAUAUAGAUGCAAGGCGUGUCACAAAUUAUUGACUUGUGAAUCAGGAAGCGGAACUAGUCAUUUAAAGCGUCAUGUACUUAGUUGUAGUAAGACUAUCAAAAAUCAUGAUGUGGGUGAAAUGGUGAUUGAUGCUGAAGGAAAAUUGAGAAAGAAAAAGUUUGACCCUAUUGCUAAUCGAGAAAUUUUAGCUAGAAUCAUGAUUGCACAUGGUGCAUCAUUUAAUAUGGUUGAGUGGAGGGUGUUUAGAGAAUACCAAAAGUUUUUGAAUGAUGAUUGUGUUUUUGUUAGUAGAAAUACUAUAGCCAAAGAGAUUUUGAAUGUUUAUCGUGAUGGGAAACAAAAGCUGAAAUCACAGUUAGCUAUGGUGGAGGAACUCGAAUUACGUCACCUUCAUAUGAUGUAAGUUCAUACAUUCUUUCUUUAUUUUAUUCUUUUAUUAAUUAUUUGGUUUUGUUUGUAUGAAUAUUUUGUAACUUGGUUAGGUUGGAUGAUUUGUAGGAAUUUGAAGAAUAUGAAAGCCAAUCAAGUAAUAACAUCGGAAAAUCAGAACUUGAUACUUAUUUAGAUGAGUUGCGGAUGCCUCUAUCUUCAGAAUUUGAUGUCUUAGCUUUUUGGAAGGAAAGAAGUCGUAGAAGUCCAAAUCUUGCAAGGAUGGUUUGCGAUAUAUUGAGUAUUCCAAUAACAACGGUGGCAUCAGAAUCUGCGUUUAGUAUUGGCGCCCGAGUUGUGAAUAGGUAUAUAAGUUCAAUGAAAGAUGAUUCUGUUCAGGCUCUCUUGUGCGCACGUAACUGGUUACAUGGUUUUGAAGGUAUGGUUUUUAUAGUUCUAUCAUUUUUACAAUUGUUUUAUAGUUUAUAUUAUUGUCGAUAGAACUGACUGAAAUGAGUUUGAUGUGAAACUCAUGAAUGAAAAGUAACUGAACCUAUUGCAGAAACUGAUAUUUGUGAAUCAAAACUUAUAUGACAAUUUAGUUUAUGAAUCAAAACAUUUCAAAGAACAAGGAAUGUGUGAAUUCAUACAGUCAUACACAAGGACCGAGAAUUCAUUUGAUCCACAUGCAUAGUGCUAGAAUGAGCCAUUUGAGCCUAGAUGAAAGAAAACAUCUGCUCAUUUUGCUGUUGCUUUAAAUCUUGAAUGCUAGAUUAGAUAGUUAGUAUGCAAUAUUCUUGGACUUUCAUGAUUGAUUUUUGUUCAAUGGUUAUUCUCACACUAAUUGAUUUAUUUUUAGUUAUCAAUACUGAAGUGAUUUUUUAAUCUCUAUAUUUAACAAUCAAAUUUUGUAAUUUGUAGAAUUAUAUGAUGACAACAAUGAUGUUCAAGAAGAUGAAACUCAUGGAAGUGGACAAACAUCAAAUAAUACUGUGGAUGUUGUGAACCUUGAAGAAGAUUAAGUGACUUUGUUGGGAGUGACUUUUUGGAUUAAAACUUUUGUUAUGUUAUUACUUAUUCUGGAUAAUUAGUAUUUUGAAUUUAGAAUCU